rnacentral:lncRNA from 1 species
CCUGUUGUAUCACACUUUAUUAUUAACUAAUUUUUAAAAUUAAACAAUGAUAUGAAUACUUAAUAUAAAAAUACGAGAUCCCAAGUCAUUAAAUAAAUCAUAUAUGGUACCUGAAUAGAUAGUCAAGAACAAAUAUUUCCACAAUCAUGCAACCAAAAUUUGUGACAAUGCUUUCAUAUAUAGGUUUAUACUCUAGACCAACAACCCUAUUAAAUAGGGAUGGCACAUCACCAACCAACCCAAACCUAUUUUCCUCAAUUCUGACAAACUUAGCCGUAGUAUUGUUAGCACNNNNNNNNNNNNNNNNNNNNNNNNNNNNNNACCAAGGCUUCCUUAAUUACAUCUUGUUCUUCCCAAAACAUUUGGUCCAUUGAAAUUUGGCCACUUUCUUCCAUGAAAGUACAGAAUCUGCAAAUAUUGAAAAAUCAAGUCAGUUACUUAGCAAACAAAAAAUUUGAGGGAGUGUGACGCCCCUUUUUUUGUUGAAUAACAAAACACCGGUUUCAAAAUUUCAUUUCUCAAAAAUUAAGAGUAUCACAUUUAAAUUCACAACAUUUGUACAACAUAGACCACUACAAGGUUCUGUUUAUAAUGGACCAGUUAAAUGGACACGUGGAGGAAAAGAUUGACCGAAGGGGAGUGAAGAAGAGCAUACUGGUUUUGGAGAUGGAAGUGGGACUGGAAUAGUGAGAACCAUUCUCAUCUCAGUGGGGAAUUCUCUUGGUGAUAGUUUAUCGUCCUCGUAAAUUCCAUUACUGCAACGGGAUUAUUAAUCCAUCCAUUGAUUAACAUUGCAGUAUUUAUAAGGGAAUUUAUCCCACAGUUCACAUAAAAAAUAUCACUAUUUGCCACCAUAAUUUGUUAUAUCGUUUUGUUACUAUUAUUUGUGUCAAUUAUUUGCCAUUUAGAGCUCAACCUGAGGAGUAUGCAAAUCUGUUUGAAAUCAGGGUAUCAUCAGAUUCGAAUGAAAGAGGGUGAUAUUCACAAGACUGAAUUUUGAACUCAUGAAGCAUUAUGAACAUCUAAUUAACUAAGACAUUCCUUCAAAAACAAAACAAAACAAAAAAAAACCGAAUCAACCAAGACAUGCUAAACAUACAAUAGCACAUGUUCAUAAUAUUUAUUGUUUUCUGCUUACGGGCGACUAAUGACGAGAUGCUUACUCGUUCCACCAUAUAUUAGUAAAAUUCAAAUGCUAAACCAUACACAUCUAUUAAUUAAAUUAACAAUUCCGCGUAAGUUUGUGACUCUUUUGUCAACUCCAUAAUAAAAAAUAAAAUAUCAUUUUCAACUUACUCGUAGAAAAAAGUAAAAAAAUACCUUGACAACUUGCUCUUCAAAUUAUCUUUUGUGUUCUCAAUAAAACUAGAACAAAUUUUGUCCACAAUAUGCAUAGACGCCAAAAAAAGCUCAGUUCGAUACUUGUUUACAAGGAGAGGCGCGAAGACAUUUUCUCUGUGCAUUAAAAACAAUCAUAUAAUGAGUUGCAUGGAAUUCAGUGACACCCAAUGCUUACAAUUAUUGGUCAAUAUACUUAGUAAUAUGGUAAAAAUUAUGAGUAUAUUGUCCAACAACAGUAGAAUGAGAUUGAGAUUUCUAAUGCAUACAUAACGACUUACCCAAACAUCUGAAUCUGCAAUUCUACUUUAACAUUACCCUCAGCGUCAAGAAAACCUCUUUCACAGGCACGCUCAAGAUCAAAUACAUACCCCGGGUGAGCCUUACAGACUGAGUGGAAUCGAUCUGAAUAAACUCAAAUGAAAUAGUCAGUAUUAGUAAUUAUUUUUUAAAAAAAAUAACAACAAUAAUAACUUUAUUUAAAAACCUACCUGAACAUUCAGUUAGCCGGUAGUCAAGGGGGUGAAUUAUCGCCACUGUGUUCAGUGCAUAAAAGUUCAACCUUGGAUUGUUGUCUCUGUCAGCAAAUAACUUAAAAUGCAACGAGGUUCCAAUCCGAGACCGAAUAGCUAUGAAAAUCCUGCAUUGGNNNNNNNNNNNNNNNNNNNNNNNNNNNNNNNNNNAUUCACUCUUGAAUAUAUAAAAUAAAAAUUAAGAAAGUUGAAUACCAUUUAAACUCUCCAAGUUCAAUGACUAAAGAAUCGUCGUAUCGAGGAGUCGGCUUUAGUGUGCACAAUAUUUUUGUAUAUAAUUUUGACGCAUCAUUAUCAUCUUCUUCAACGGAUUCCAAACUUUUCCGAAUUUCAUUACGAAAAUCUGAGAGAGGACGAUAAGUAUGAGUAUCAAAAGGAGAUUAUGUUGCUAUGUUUAAAGAGAUGCUUACAAUUUUCAUCCUCCGCCUCCAUCUUUCUUUCAAUAUCAAAAAUUUGUAUGAAAUUUUCUCCUGUUGAAACAAAACCCUAUGUCAUACCACCAAUACAAUACACAUAAACACCACAACAUGAAAUUGCUUAAUAGAUAUUAUAAUAAGAUUCAAUUCAAGAGCUCAAUACCUACCUGUGUUGCUGCGUUGUCGCCACUUCUCUCUCUACUCUUACAAUCGGAUUUGCUAAAAAAACUAGUAUUAGGGUUUAGGUGGAUUUAUUUGUUUUAUAAUUUGGAGUUGGCUAUUAUUGACUCCAUCUUUUUGUUAGUACGUGCAGAUAGUGCUAUUGCUUUUCUCACCCUCCUUUCUUCAGAAAAUGUUCCGACAAAAUUGUUUAUUAUCCUUAAAAACAUGCUUAUUAGAUAUUUUUAAAUUGAUGCGAAAUUUUCUUAAAGAGCCUAAUAUUUCGGAAGCAUAAUUGUCUAGUAACUCACUAUUCCAUAUACUCUCAAAUCCAUAAGUUUUUCCAUGUUGUUCGCUUUCAUGCAACUUUUAUACCCGAGCUUUAAAAACAGCCACGCGUGAAAAAAUAUAUGUGUUAUGUUGAGUUGACAAAGUACACGUGUAUUACACAUUUUAAAAUAAUGUGACUUUUAUUUUAGGUGAGUCAUUUUUUUGGUAAAGUAAUUAUUCAUAAAUCUCUACUCUUUCAACUCAUCCAUAAAAUUAUUCACUCUUCAAUAUAUAAAUAGAAAAUUAAGAAAGUUGCACACCAUUUAUACUCAAGUUAAUGACUGACGAAUCCAGAAAUCAGCUUUUGUCAAUGAAAAUUUUGAAUACAUGUUUGACAAAUCAUUACCAGUUUCAACAGGAUUCCAUAAAAUUCCAAAUUAUUCUUCUAGACCAACGCACUGAGAUUUGAGAGAGAGAGAGAGAGAGAGAGAGAGAGGAGGAGGAGGAAAAUAAUUAUGAGUAUCACGAGGAGAGAUCUUGUUGCUAUGUUUAAUGAGAUGCUUACCACUUUCUUUCUCCGCCUCCACAUACAAAGCAGCAACCUUUUGUUGUGCAUCCAAGUACAAUUCAGUGACCUCUUUUUUCAAUGCACGUGCAACAUGCUCCUUUUGUUCCGCAAUUAAUGUAUCAAUCUUCUUUGUCAAAGUAGUUGCAAUAACCUCAUGCCUUUUUAGGGCACUCAUAAACAAGUAAUUAAGCAAAGAUCUCGCACUAUCCAGAAUAAAUGUAUCCUCUUCCAAAUCUGCUGCAAUCGAUUCAUCAUUUUGCUGCAGCAACAAACAGUUUCUAGUAAGUAGUUAACCAAAUAAGAAAAACCCAUCUACUUACGUCCAAAAUCAAGUUUACCGUUUGCUUAUUCUCUUCUACACAUUUAUCAUUUUUCUUUGGUUUAGCCUACAAAACAAGAUUUUUUUUAGCUAAACAGAUAAAAAUGAUGACAAACAUAUAAAUUAACAUAUAUGCAUGACACCUUCUUCUUUUUUUUUUUAUUAGAUUUCUUUUCAGUUCGAUUGAGCUCACUUCGAGUAAAGUUCGCCUCAAUUUUAUUCCUGCAUCCAUUAAAUAAAUAAUUAGAAUGUGAUCAGCCUGCACAGCCUACUGGAUAUGAAGACAAAAGCCUAGCAACACUAUUGUAUCACACUUUUAUUAUUAACUAAUUUUUUAAAUUAAACAAUCACACGAAUACUUGGUAUAAAGAAACAAGACCUGGGUCAAUAAAUAAAUCAUAUGCAGUACCUGAAUAGAUAGUCAAGAAAAAAUAUUUCCACAAUCAUGCAACCAAAAUUUGUGACAGUGCUUGGAUAUAUAGGUUUAUACUCUAGACCAACAACCCUAUUAAAUAGGGAUGGCACAUCACCAACCAACCCAAACCUAUUUUCCUCAAUUCUGACAAACUUAGCCGUA